rnacentral:piRNA from 1 species
UUCAGCACAGGAGAAAGAUGGAGGCCGGAA